UACGGGGGGGGCAAGCGUUGUUCGGAAUUACUGGGCGUAAAGGGCUCGUAGGUGGCCAACUAAGUCAGACGUGAAAUCCCCCGGCUUAACCGGGGAACUGCGUCUGAUACUGGAUGGCUUGAGUUCGGGAGAGGGAUGCGGAAUUCCAGGUGUAGCGGUGAAAUGCGUAGAUAUUGGGAAGAACACCGGUGGCGAAGGCGACCAUCUGGACGACAACUGACGCUGAGGCGCGAAAGCGUGGGGAGCAAACAGG
rnacentral:rRNA from 1 species